rnacentral:rRNA from 1 species
UACGAAGGGGGCUAGCGUUGCUCGGAAUCACUGGGCGUAAAGGGUGCGUAGGCGGGUCUUUAAGUCAGGGGUGAAAUCCUGGAGCUCAACUCCAGAACUGCCUUUGAUACUGAGGAUCUUGAGUUCGGGAGAGGUGAGUGGAACUGCGAGUGUAGAGGUGAAAUUCGUAGAUAUUCGCAAGAACACCAGUGGCGAAGGCGGCUCACUGGCCCGGUACUGACGCUGAGGCACGAAAGCCAGGGGAGCGAACGGGG